rnacentral:rRNA from 1 species
AUGAGAUUUCCUUCACCUAGAGAUGUUGACAAAGCUUGUUUCGCCGAAACUAUGAAUAUUAAGAGCUGUGGUGUUGUGGUGAGUCUCAAAAAAUGGUCUGAAUCUGUGGGUGCCAAGGGUGUACUUAACAUUUCUUGGGUCAAUGUUAGCAACAUCCCUUUGGACAAAAGGUGCAAAAAAAAUAUUGCUUAUGUUGGAUCUUUGGUGGGUGUGACUCUUGACAUCGACAGAUCUACUGUCAACAGACCCGAGUUGGUCAGGAUUAAGCUGGGUCGUAGAGAUGCUGAGAACAUCCCAGCUAAGGCAGAGGGGGUGUUGGGAGAUCAUUUCUAUGAUUUCUUCUACUCGGUGGAUAAAAUUCUGGUUAAAAAUAAUCCUAAAGAAACUGUGACAAUUACUCAGGAUGCAGACAAGGGGGUGUCACCCAAGAGGGCUAGAAUCACAGAAAAUGUGCAAAAUGGUGACCAGGGGGGGCUCUUCUUCCACUUUGGGGAACUUUUCUGCUCCUCCCAAUUCAGUUGUGAGGGGAGUGCACAUGUCAGCUUUAAUAGAGAAUAUGGAAGAGGGAACUGA